GGGGGGAGGCUGGAUCCUGGGCUGUGUCCCUGGCGCCCUGGGCUCCCGGGCCUGCGCUGUUGGAUUCGGGCUCCUGGCCGCGCAGCCCCCC
rnacentral:pre_miRNA from 1 species